CGCCAGACUCCUACGGGAGGCAGCAGUAGGGAAUCUUUCACAAUGGGCGAAAGCCUGAUGGAGCAACGCCGCGUGCAGGAUGAAGGCCUUCGGGUUGUAAACUGCUUUUAUAAGCGAGAAAUAUGAUGGUAACUUAUGAAUAAGGAUCGGCUAACUACGUGCCAGCAGCCGCGGUAAUACGUAGGGAGCAAGCGUUAUCCGGAUUUACUGGGUGUAAAGGGCGCGUAGGCGGGACGGCAAGUCAGAUGUGAAAUCCAGGGGCUCAACCCCUGAACUGCAUUUGAAACUGUCGUUCUUGAGUACUGGAGAGGUUGACGGAAUUCCUAGUGUAGCGGUGAAAUGCGUAGAUAUUAGGAGGAACACCAGUGGCGAAGGCGGUCAACUGGACAGCAACUGACGCUGAGGCGCGAAAGCGUGGGGAGCAAACAGGAUUAGAUACCCUAGUAAG
rnacentral:rRNA from 1 species